rnacentral:rRNA from 1 species
AGAGUUUGAUCAUGGCUCAGGAUGAACGCUAGCGGCAGGCCUAACACAUGCAAGUCGAGGGGUAACAUAGAAAAGCUUGCUUUUCUGAUGACGACCGGCGCACGGGUGCGUAACGCGUAUACAACCUACCUUUUAGCGGGGAAUAGCCCAGGGAAACUUGGAUUAAUGCCCCAUAGUAUAUGGACUUCUCCUGAAGUUUAUAUUAAACAUUUAUGGCUAUUAGAUGGGUAUGCGUCCUAUUAGUUAGUUGGUAAGGUAACGGCUUACCAAGGCAGCGAUAGGUAGGGGUCCUGAGAGGGAGAUCCCCCACACUGGUACUGAGACACGGACCAGACUCCUACGGGAGGCAGCAGUGAGGAAUAUUGGACAAUGGGCGAGAGCCUGAUCCAGCCAUGCCGCGUGCAGGAAGACUGCCCUAUGGGUUGUAAACUGCUUUUACAGAGGAAGAACCACCCCCACGUGUGGGGGUUUGACGGUACUCUGCGAAUAAGGAUCGGCUAACUCCGUGCCAGCAGCCGCGGUAAUACGGAGGAUCCAAGCGUUAUCCGGA